GCCCGGGUGGUGAAAUCGGUAGACACAUCGGACUUAAAAUCCGCCGCCCCAAAGGGCAUGCCGGUUCGAUUCCGGCCCCGGGCACCA
rnacentral:tRNA from 1 species